CAGCGGCUGGUUAACAUCCUCACGAAGUGCUGUCAAACAUCACUGUACAAAACUGUAGGUUGUACUUGUGUACCUGUAGACUCCAGUGUAACGAACUGCAAACAUUUCCAGUCUUCCAGUUUUCCUUUCCACCCCUCAUCUCUUCCCACUUGUUGAUAUGCCUUACCUUUCAUUAUUGAACUAGUACAUGAGAUAUUUAGUCAGUAUUUUCUCCUUCUCCAAUGAUUUCCCUGCCUGAUAACCACUUCCCUUGAUCCAGAAGCAUCUUCUGUGCUCUGUUAACCCCAUGGUGUAUUUUUCUAGGCUUCACACUUAAGGUCAAGUCCUACUUCAGACAGCAAAAAGCCAGAAGAAAAUCCUCCAGAGGGACCUGGUAUGAUCUUUUUAUGAAGAUAGCCCUGUGACAUAAUUCUGGACACUGAGACAUGAACUGAAUUCUCCUAGAGGCUUCUGGGAAACUUUCUGCUUCACCGAUACAGAGAAUGGAGAUUAUACAAGCAUCUCCACCUCAUGGGGUUAUAUGAAGAUUAAAUGAAAGAAUACACAUAAGUACCCAGCCCAGUCCUUGAAACCUGGUAAGACGG